rnacentral:rRNA from 1 species
UCAGGCCUAACACAUGCAAGUCGAACGGCAGCACGGGUGCUUGCACCUGGUGGCGAGUGGCGAACGGGUGAGUAAUACAUCGGAACGUACCUUAUCGUGGGGGAUAACGCAGCGAAAGCUGUGCUAAUACCGCAUACGUCCUGAGGGGGAAAGCGGGGGAUCGCAAGACCUCGCGCGAUUAGAGCGGCCGAUGCCUGAUUAGCUAGUUGGUGGGGUAGAAGCCCACCAAGGCGACGAUCAGUAGCUGGUCUGAGAGGACGAUCAGCCACACUGGGACUGAGACACGGCCCAGACUCCUACGGGAGGCAGCAGUGGGGAAUUUUGGACAAUGGGGGCAACCCUGAUCCAAAAGUGCCGCGUGAGUGAAGAAGGCCUUCGGGUUGUAAAUUAGGGGUUCAGGGAAGAAACACCGGCUCUACACAGUCCGGGAAUGA